GACGAACGCUGGCUGCGUGCUUAACACAUGCAAGUCGAACGCUGAAACCCUGGUGCUUGCACCGGGGUGGAUGAGUGGCGAACGGGUGAGUAACACGUGAGUAACCUGCCCCCGACUUCGGGAUAAGCCCGGGAAACUGGGUCUAAUACCGGAUAUGAGCGCCCCUCGCAUGAGGGAUGCUGGAAAGUCUUUUCGGUUGGGGAUGGGCUCGCGGCCUAUCAGUUUGUUGGUGAGGUACUGGCUCACCAAGACGACGACGGGUAGCCGGCCUGAGAGGGCGACCGGCCACACUGGGACUGAGACACGGCCCAGACUCCUACGGGAGGCAGCAGUGGGGAAUAUUGCACAAUGGGGGAAACCCUGAUGCAGCGACGCAGCGUGCGGGAUGACGGCCUUCGGGUUGUAAACCGCUUUCAGCAGGGAAGAAGCCCCUUGGGGUGACGGUACCUGCAGAAGAAGUACCGGCUAACUACGUGCCAGCAGCCGCCGCCG
rnacentral:rRNA from 1 species